UACGGAGGGUGCAAGCGUUGUCCGGAUUUAUUGGGUUUAAAGGGUGCGUAGGCGGCUUGGUAAGUCCGUGGUGAAAUCCUCCAGCUCAACUGGAGAACUGCCAUGGAUACUGCCAAGCUUGAGUACAGACGAGGUAGGCGGAAUGGAUGGUGUAGCGGUGAAAUGCAUAGAUACCAUCCAGAACCCCGAUUGCGUAGGCAGCUUACUAGGCUGUAACUGACGCUGAGGCACGAAAGCGUGGGGAGCGAACAGG
rnacentral:rRNA from 1 species